AGCUCAGUGCAAAGGCCCGAGUAUUCACAAUAUUAAAAAAAAGAAAAAAAUGUGAGAAGACUGCCAAAUGGAAUUAAAGGGUGCGCUCAGAGCGACUGCGGCCUUACCAAUCAGGGAGCCAACCUCUGACCCUCAGCACCGCCUCACGCUUGGCCCUGGAUGCACGGUCACUGCGCAUGCGCGGUCCCGUUCCCGCCCACUGUACGCGCGUACCCGUCAUGCACAGCGCGGCCGCCGAGGACGCUGGGAGCCGCGUGCUGACUGGAGUUUGGCGCUCUCAGUUGCGCGCUCCUGAGCUCUGCUUUUGUGUUAGUGACACUGUCGGGCCAAGCAGUGGAGCAGCUGUUCCAGUGUGAUUUUCCUGAAGAACACUCUCACACCAAACCCAUUGGGACAAGAACACUUUGACUAGUCAUUAAGGAUUUAGGAACCAGAUGAGACAACAGCUCUUAGGUUGAUUAUCAGAGUAUUUAACAUUCCUAGAUUGGUUGAAUCUUCAGAUUGUAUUCCUGAAGACAUUGAAGGCCAACUGUGUAUGCCUGCAGCAAGGUUAAAGAAAUGACAUUCAAUGAAGAUACUUAGAUCUUCACACAGUAAGUACUUGAACCA